ensembl:lncRNA
GGAGCGCAUUCACAAUUUUCAUUCAAACUGACACAGCCUGUGUGUCCCGGUUUGCACUCCCCACUAGCUCUCUCUUUCUCUCUACACACACACACACACACACAUACAGAGAAUGAGAAACACCAGACCGUCUGCAGUUAAGUUAAUAGCGGCUAGAGGAUGGCUUCAAGAAGAGUGAGAGACCGGGACGAGAAAACCUGAGGAGACUGGCGGAAGGGGUGAGAAUAGAAAGAGGAGGUAUGGAAUUCACAAAGAGAUGUCAGGGUGGAAGGUGAGUAGGGAGAGGACGAAGAGUUUUAAAAUAGAAGAGAAAAAGGGAGGUGGAGGAAUGCAUGGGGUUGGACGGCCGAGCUCGACGUAUGGAGGGGGCAGAGAUCGACUGGAGCCAGACUGGGUGUAUGCAUCUGAGAGAGUCACUGUGUUGGAUGCCUCACUAAAAGAGAAUUGAAACUGGCUGCUGUCCAAACUAAACAGACUGUGGAGACACGGCACUACUACCUGACAGCCAAGGUACCACCUGUUUGUCACGGCCAGCACACAUACUCCCACCACUCUCAUCCUCUUGUUUUCUCUCUUUUCCUCUCUAUCUCUCCCUGAGCUUUUGGCGUGCGUUCUGGAUGGGCAUCUUGGAGCAUCUGUGCCUGCCUGAGGCACUGGACUGUGGUAGAUGUGGGUCAGAGCUGUAAAUCCUGUGUGGUCUUGUACCAUAUACAGCCAUCGCAACUUCAAAAGACACAGCAAAGCCAGAUGCCAAGUGUUGAUGAUGGAUCGCAGGAGCAGCAUGCAAAAUAAUAAAGUCAAUAAUGAAGGUCAUAAGUCAACUUAAUGGUUUGUCUGGUGCUUGGCCCUCCCUUUCAUAACAGAAAUCCACAGCGGACGCAUCCAAGUGAGGAAAUUCCAGUUCAUUACUGCCACCUCCUGGUCAGAGUCUAAAAAGUCAUUUUUAGACACUUCACUGACAUCGUAAUACAUAACGUCUCAGAUGCGCAGUUUUACCCGAUGAAAAACAUCAAAUCAAGUGGCUUCCUCAAUCGCUGCUGGACAGCAAAACUUGUAAUCCAGAAGCACUGGAUCUCUAUUUGAGCUUUUAAAGGUGCACUUGGCAUAAUAAAACGCGAGGGCUGUGAGAACAGAGAGUGUUGACAGCCUGCAGUUGAAACAGUAUCUCACCCACUCACACUGAGGAGCUUUGAGGGCCGAGGGCUGUUAAAUGAGGAGGGAGAUAAUGAGAGAGAGGCAGCAGCAUGGUAAUCAGCAGGCCUCAAUUUCCUCACUGAUGCUCCAGAUUAGCCCAGCCUCACAGGCUCCCUUAGGCAUGUCUCAUCUUCUCUCGCCCCUCAGAGAACACUUUGGAUGAAAGGAAGAACUUCUCCAUCCAGUCUGCUGUCGAACCCCAUGCUGAGGCCACUGCGCAACACGCUGUUGAUAAUCAAGAGUUUUUUUUCAUUUUUUUUUUUCAUUUUCAAUUCAUUAUCUUUUCCAUUGCUUUCUGGUCCAUUAGCCACACUUUAUGCUCUAAAAUAAUUGUUUAUGUAACGUGUUCCUUGUGUUGUAUGUCUUCAAAUACACACCAUUGAUUUUAACUACAAUUUCCACAGCCUUACUGAAAGCAGAUGAAAAUUAGGUUUUGUUAUUACUGUUUGUGUCUUUGGAGGAGCUGUGUUGAAUAAAUCAACCACAAGUUAACAGGCAUCUUCAACCAAAAAUACUGCCAAUUAACAAAGAUCCUUCAUCAGCAUGAGGUAUACUAUAUUAUACCGUUCAAAGGUUUGAGGUCAGUUGCAUUUUUAUUUAAUGCUUUUGAUUAUAAAAAUGUUACUGACCUUAUUCUUGCCAGGGCUGCAUUUAUCUGAUAAAAAAAAUACAGUAAGGAUAGAAAUAUUGAGAGAUUUUUUUUUUAAUAACUUUAUGUCUACUACAUAUUCAAAAAUAAUUUAUUCCAAUGAUGGCAAAGCUAAAUUUUCAGCUACAUUUUCACAUGACCCUUCAGAAAUCAUUCUAAUAUGCUGAUUUGGUGCACAUAAAAAAAUUCUUAUUAUCAUCUAUGUUAAAAAUUGUGCUGCUUAAUCUUUUGUAAAAUAUCUUUUAUAUUUUGGUUUUCAUUUUGUUUUUGAUAAGCUUGUUUUUGACAUUACACUUGAUGUUUGUUCACGGAAAAUUGCUUAAGCUUUUUUCUUCCUCCAAAGGUUUUUUUUUAUCAUUAUUAUUAUUAUUUCCCAAUGAUGUCACAAUAACAGUACAUUGCCAAUAGCUUCUGAGCUUUUACUGUGAUCAAAGAAAUUUAACUUUUGGAUCCCCCCUGUGGCCUUUCGUGUAAUAACUAUUGCUAUUCUAGAAGAAAUGAAAUGCACAUUUCUAGAGUGCAGGUCUUUGUUCAUUUGCAAUGUACUGAUUGCCAAUAACCACUUUUAUUUUGGUUUUAAAAAUGUGUCUAAUUUAGAGGCAUUAUGAAGCAGCAAACUGAUCUAUAUGCCCUGAGAGGUGGAUGUGAGGCAUGGAAAGCAGCCAUUAUUUUCAUUUCAUCCUGUUUUGAAUGUGGCCAGGGAUGUGUGUCAGUGACAUCAUUUUGGCCACCGUUAACAGCAGUAAUUUGUCUCUGCCAUAAAGCUAUUUUUUAUCAAUAAUUUAAACAUUAUCUUUGAACUGUUACAUAUUAACAAUAUUUAAGAAAUAUAAAUUAUGUAAAUGGAUUACUUGUACCAGGAAAUCUGUACCAUAG